AAAAGAGAAGAAGGCGUGGAAAAAAUUCUGAAUUUUAAAAACAAGUGACAGAAGGUUUGUGGAAGUAAAAUCCUGAGGAGUUUGGUGUAUGGUCAAGUUGGUUGAGAUUAAAAUAAAUGAGUUUCAAUAUCAAGAGUAAAGCAGUCACAGGCAGAGCCGCUGGCUCCAGUGUGUGCACGGGAGGGAGGGCAGGCCAGGGACUCGUCAGGCCUUGGGCGGAAAGUGCCUGUGGGGGACAGGAAGAGCGCGGUGAGUGCGUGGUCCAGCACCCCAGCGCUGGCAGGGAGGCUGAGUGAAGCGGGACGCUGAGUCCUGAGCAGCAGGUGGCCGUGACUCCCUGCCCCUCCCUGCUCUCUGGUGACACGACUGAGGUUGAGCAAAGCUCAGAGAGUGUCUGCAGUGCGGCUGCCAUGGCCCCAGGGAGCGGCAAGCACCCCUCAGGGGAAAAAAGUGAUAAACAGCCAAACACUGUUCUGGUGGCUUUAACAGUGCCCACAGUGACAGCCUGGGAACGCCCUAGCCCCCUCGACUGGACGGAGGGCCAAAGGACCUUGACCCAUGCCUGCAGCGCUGUGCAGGUGGUUCAGGUAUCACGGGACCAGAAGCCACAAGAGGAAAUAACAAUGUACUGGUCCACAGGAGCAUUUUGCUGUCAGGGGUGAAAAUGAGCACAAUGACUUCCAUCACUUCUCACCUCACUCUGCUGCCAUGCUUCUGGAGCACCGCCCGGUGGACAAAACCCCCUGAGGUUACCUUGUUUCAUUACAUUGAUGGUGUCAUAUUAACCUCUGAGUCUUUUUCAGACCUUCAAGAAGCGUCUCUCUCCCUUGCCGCCCACCUAUGCCAACGAGAAUGGGUAGUAAACGACAAUAAAGUACAAGGGUCUGGGUUAUCUGUCAAACACUUGGUGUUAUCUGGUCGGGUAAGACAAAAGCGGUUCCUGCUACUGUUAUAGAUAAGACACAGGCUGUCCAUCCUCUUUAAAAGUUGGUGCCAAAGGGUAUCAUCUGGGACUAGGGGACCACCAAGCAGGAGGCCUUCUCCCAAGCCUAAAUGACAGUAAAACAAAUCCAGCCCUUGGGUGUUUUAACACAAGGACAGCUGUGUGAACUGGAUGUUUCCAGUCACCCAGAGGGGUUCGGAUGGGGUCUCUGGCAGAGGCAAAGCAAUAAACCAGUGCCCCUCGGCUUCUGGUCCCAAUUGUGGAAAGGGGCUGAAAACCAGUAUAGCGCCCUGGAACAAUUGUGUGCUGCUUACCUCGUCCUCCAGCAGGUGGAGCCCAUAACCCAUUCCCUGCCGGUCAUCUGCCCAUUGCAAGGUGGCUGAGGGAUGCUUUCCAAAAGCCCCACUCAGGAACAGCCCAAACACAGACAUUGGCAAAGUGGCGUGCAUACUUACAACACCGAGGGACCCUCACCAGUAGUCCCCUCAGUGCAGAACUACAUGCCCUCCUGGGGCCAGUAACACACACCACAGAAGAAACAAGCCCGUUAGAUGAGGUGCCCAUGCCUGAAACCCUGCCAAAUGUACAGGAAGGAGGAGGACCAAUCCCAGCAGAGGCCUGGUAGACGGAUGGCUCCGCAAGGGGUAACCACCCCCCCCCCAGUGGACAGCGGGGACCAUCCAGCCUUCAACCAGCAGCAUGUGGUUGGACCCUGGCUCUGGAUACAGUAGUCAACGGGCUGAACUGAGGGCCACCUGGAUGGUGUUGACUUGUGAGCCCGGUCCAAUAUGUCUGUGCAUGGACAGUCAGGUAGUCUAUACAGGGCUCACCCUGUGGAUGGCCUAAUGGGCAUGACAAAAGUGGACUAUUAAUGGUCACCCAUUGUCAGGGGCAGAGCUCUGGGAUGACAUCUGGCAUCAGGUCUUGGGAAUGACAAUAACAGUGUACCAUGUGUCUGCACACCAGGUGACAACACCACCAGGAAACCAACAAGCAGAUGAGUCAGCUCAGAUUUGUCUCCUGGAAGAAGUGCCAGCCAAAAGAGUGGCAGGGUGGCUACACAGGAAGACCGGACACAAAGGACAAAGGACCCUGUGGGCUGUCGCCAAGGACUGGGGCCUCCCGCUGCGCUAUGCUACUACGGUGCAGGUCUGUCAGGUGUGCCCUUCUUAUUCCUUACAGAGACCCUGGGCCAUUCCUCAGGACACAGGCCAAAUUGCCAGAAGCAACCAGCCUGCUCAACGCCGGCAGAUGGACUCCACAGGGCUGUUGCCUCUUUCUGAUGGCUGUAGGCAUGCCCUAACUAGUGCGGACACAGCUACAGGACUGCUACAGACAUAUCCCAGCAAGAGGGCCACACAGAAGACCACCAUGAGAGGCCUGGGGACACCUCUGUGCUGCCUACAGUGUUCCCAUGGACAUCAAUGGUGACCAAGGACAAUGUCAGCCAGCCUUUCCACUGCAUGGACACAGACUGGUGCUGGCAUACAAAACCGCUCCACCUGCUGGGCAUGCAGCGAGCUGCGUGCCUUCAACGGCAGGGUUACCAUGGCAUCUCCAAGCUGCCAACGCCUCUGACUGGAGAGCCGCAUGAGAGCGGAGGAGUGCCGCCCACUUUCCCAUUCCUACUCCCCUCCACCUGUGACAUGUUUUCUUUGCUGUCCUUGCUUUUUUACUACUUCUUUUAUUUUCAUGUUAUGCUUUCUAUUGCUGUUGUAGUUUCUGGCUACAGUGCUCCUCUCUGUGUCCGGCUCAAGGGGAACUGCAGAAGACUGGUGCGAUGAGAUUGUAAGGGCCAUUCUGACACAUGGUGGGUGGAGUGUAGGGGCACUAGCCAGCAUGCCCCUUUAAAACCAUGUGUCCUUGAGGCUCCUUGUCUGGGCUGCAUGCUAGCACUCAUGAUGAUAACAUUCCUGGGCUUGGCCACCCCAGCUGCUUUCUCGUGGGAGAGUUAGCACCAAGACCCUCGUGGUCAGAGGGAACACAGAGGCGCUCUGGGGCAGGGGUGCUCAGGUCCUUGGAAUGCAGGUCAUACAAGGACAGUCCCCCGUGGCAAGCACACAGCCUUUGUUCCUCUGCCUACUUAAGCAAGCUUCUCUCAGGGGGUGGUAGCGGGUGCACAUUGCUGUCCAGCCGGCCACCACUGGACCUUCCCUGUAAGUAACUCCCCAGUAAACCCAUAUGUC